rnacentral:rRNA from 1 species
AUGGAUGUAGCAGCGCUUCGAUGGCGACUCCACACAAAGGGAAAGAGGAACGGCGGCUCACUGUCCGGCGAGGGAUCUCCUUUCUGUAAAAUAGCACGAGAGGCCCUUGUUGAAUUGGAGUUGCCACACUUGCUACACAGCAGUUGUGCUCGUGGCAGGCCCAAGCGACAGGAAAUUUUCAAGAAAAAUGGCCUUUACCAGGGGCCUUAUAUCGAGGAUCCUAACACAGGGGUCAAGAUGUUCGAAAGCGCUGAGAUCGUAGAAUACCUAAGGGCAACAUAUUCACUCUAUCCUCAGUACCAAAUUCUCUGA